AUUAGACCAAGGCCAAAAGACCGUCAACAGAUCCAGGACCGCAUCAAAGAGUUGAAAGGAAUCAUCCCUGAUGGUGGAAAGUGUAGCAUUGAUGCAUUGUUGGAUCGUACCAUCAAGUACAUGCUUUUCUUGCAAGGUGUGACAAAAUAUGCAGACAAGCUUAAACAAGCUGAUGAGCCAAAGCUCAUUGGUGAGGAGAAUAAAAUGGUUUUGAAAGACAACAGCACAAGUGGUGGUGGUGCCACAUGGGCACUGGAAGUGGGAGAUCAAUCAAUGGUUUGCCCUAUUAUAGUCGAAGAUCUCAGUACACCUGGCCUGAUGCUUAUUGAGAUGCUUUGUGAGGAUCGAGGAUUCUUUCUUGAGAUAGCUGAUGUAAUUAGGGGAUUUGGAUUGAAUAUAUUGAAGGGACUGAUGGAAACUCGAGAGGAUAAGAUAUGGG
rnacentral:misc_RNA from 1 species